CCUCGUGAUCCGCCCGUCUCGGCCUCCCAAAGUGCUGGGAUUACAGGCUUGAGCCACGGCGCCCGGCCGAAAGUUUGCAAUUCUUUAGAAACAGAGAAUGCCGUGCUUUCAAAGUGGGUGUGAAACACAGCCCUCCAUAUUAACUCCCCCGAGGUCCCGAUAAGGUUGGUAGACCCAGAAACUUAGGCAUAAAGAGAUUGGUUAACUUUGCUUUAAUGCUUUUAUGUAGAACCCAGUGCACCCGAUUUUUGAGAAGUGCCUGGAAUGUGGAGUUGCAUGCUUGCAACUAGAGUUAAACAGAAAAAGUAGUUCAGGAAGAAGGAGACAACUGACACUUAACUCUGACCUCAGGGGCCCUUAGGCACUCAGAACUGAAACUUGGAUAGUUUGUAUCGGCUAGUAAAGCAGUGGGACUGGAGAAGGAACUAACAACUACAUUUUAUUUUGGCUGCAAUAAGAAAAAGUAAUCUGGAAAAGGUUUUCUGGGGGUGAAAAGUAAAAAAGAUGGUGCUGUACACCAUGAAGAAGUUGCUACUUUCAGCUCAUGUUGAUUUUCUUCAGGACCAAUUUUUUAAUGAACACUUUUCUCUGAUUUAUUUAUUAUUUAAAAGUUUAUGAGUUCCACAAAA